CUCGAUCUCCUCCUUGGACAGACGGCCCUUGUCGUUGGUGAUGGUGAUCUUGUUCUUCUGGCCAGUGGUCUUGUCCUCGGCAGAGACGUUCAGGAUGCCGUUGGCAUCGAUGUCGAAGCAGACAGUGAUCUGGGGGACACCACGGGGAGCAGGGGGGAUGCCGGAGAGCUCGAACUUGCCCAGGAGGUUGUUGUCGCGGGUCCUGGUCCUCUCACCCUCGUACACCUGGAUCAGCACACCAGGCUGGUUGUCCGAGUAGGUGGAGAACACCUGCUCCUUCUUGGUGGGGAUGGUUGUGUUCCUCGGGAUCAGC
rnacentral:lncRNA from 1 species